rnacentral:lncRNA from 1 species
GACUCUGAGAUGAAGCAGGAGACAAAGGAGGAUCGUAAGGUUCAGGGAAAGACAACAUUUCUAUGGUAGAAGGCACCAGGUCUAGUACAGGAAACAUGGGAGUGCCAGUGGUUUGUAGGUGUUAAAAAGGAAAAUGUGUUCUUUAAAUACCACAUUUCUACUCAAUAAAGGUUUUCGAGGGUAGAUCAUAGACUUUGUAGCCCUUCUGAGUUGAAGAAUAGCCCA